rnacentral:lncRNA from 1 species
CAGGUCUGGAGGAUCCACACAUUUAUGUGAUUUUACUGCAGGUUGGCUUGUGCACAACCAGACAAGUUCAAAAUCUCUGGAAGAUACUGGAGUUUAAGGUUUGGCUCUUGGGAAAUUGCUAUCAGAGACUCAAGUCACAGAACCCAAAGCGCCAACUGUGUAGCCUGAUUCAUGCGAAACCUCAAUGAUGUUUCAUUUUCAAGCACAGCGAUCACAUUCAGCUAAUGGUGGGCCAUGCCAUUCCCAGCACCCACUGAGACAACCAUCAGAUGACGAGGCAAAACAAAGCAUCAGUGAUUGUGUAUAUGACCUUUGAACUUCAACUGAGCAGCAAGGUUUUGAGAAAUUACUGCAAAAAGAGUGUGAGGACACUGAUGUUCCUGUUCCAAGAAAGGCUGUGGCCAACCCUCCAGCCUGCUUUAAUGUCAUAAUGACUGCAGCAAAUCACAACCAGAAGACAGAGGCGGUCUGCCAUUUGCCUGCUUCUUCUAUGAAUGACUGUGCACGCAAUUGUCUGUACAUUCUUAAAAAUAAAGGUUCAUGAAUGGCU